rnacentral:rRNA from 1 species
AGUCUUCUAAUGAACUAUAUUAGAUAAUUUCUGCUCAAUGAAUUUAAAUAGCCGCGGUACUUUGACUGUGCGAAGGUAGCAUAAUAAAUUGGCUUUUAAAUGAAGUCUAGAAUGAAUGAAUUAUCUGGAUAUAAGCUGUCUCAUUAAGUUUAUAAUUAAUUUAAUAAAUAGGUGAAAAUUCCUAUACUAUAAAAAAAAGACGAGAAGACCCUUGAAAUUUUAAUUAUUUAUUUAUAUGGUUAAGUAUUUAUUUUUGUUGGGGCAACAAAAUUACAAAUAAUUAAUUUAAUUAUUUUUUAUAAGAAGAGUUUUAUUAAGUAAAAAUAAAUUACUCUAGGGAUAACAGCAUAAUUUUUUUAUAAGAUUGUGACCUCGAUGUUGGACUAGGAUAUUUUAGGUUUAAAAGAUUUAAAAUAAGGUUCUGUUCGAACUUAAAUUCCCUACAUG